rnacentral:rRNA from 1 species
AGCGCAGGCGGGACUGCAAGUCAGAUGUGAAAACCACGGGCUCAACCUGUGGACUGCAUUUGAAACUGUAGUUCUUGAGUGAAGUAGAGGUAAGCGGAAUUCCUAGUGUAGCGGUGAAAUGCGUAGAUAUUAGGAGGAACAUCGGUGGCGAAGGCGGCUUACUGGGCUUUUACUGACGCUGAGGCUCGAAAGCGUGGGGAGCAAACAGGAUUAGAUACCCCUGUA